rnacentral:rRNA from 1 species
AACGAACGCUGGCGGCAUGCUUAACACAUGCAAGUCGAGCGCCCCGCAAGUGGAGCGGCGGACGGCUGAGGAACGCGUGGGGACGUACCCAUUGGUGCGGAACAACCCCGGGAUACUGGUACCAAUACCGGAUAAGCCCUAACGGGGGAAGGGUUAUCGCCGAACGAUCGGGGCGCGUCUGAUUUUCUAGGUGGUGGGGUGACGGCGCAGCAAGGCGACGAUCAGUAGCUGGACUGGGAUGAUGAGAAGCCACAAUGGGACUGCGACACGGCCCAGACCCCUAGGCGAGGGAGCAGAGGGGAAUAUAGGAGAAUGGGGGCAAGCCUGAUACCGCCAUGCCGGGUGAGUGAUGCAGGGGUUAGGGUUGUAAAGCCGUCUUGUACGGGAAGAUAAUGACUGUAACGGAAGAAUAAGCCCCGGCUAACUUCGUG